AAAGUUUCUUCCUCUCAGUUUGGGAAAGCCAAGACAAUGCUUACGAGAAAAGAAAAUGUUGCUUCCUGAAUUGAAAUAUUCAGAUCACUCAAGCCUGGUGAAGCAAUGUUGUAAGAAGGAACUGAGAGCAAGCUGUGAAGACUCAGAGGUUGCAAAGCUGUUAGAGGGAGAGAAUCCUGUGGGGUGUUCUUUUCCAUGCAGAUGUGCAACAUACACUUGUGACUGAAUCAAGGUUGUUCUCAAUGGCGUAUUAAUACCUCUGUAACAUGCAGCUCCAUUUCUUUCCUCUCAGAAAUUACAUUGGCAAGAUGACCCUUUCCUCUCCUGUGGAGCUUGACUGACAGGCUGCUGCCAAAGAAGGAAAAUGAUUUUCAAAGUCUGACCUAAGUAAAACCAUUGCUUGCACUCUCACUGGACUUUUGUUGCUUCAGGUGUUACAGGAAAAAUAAAUCAACUCAACUGCUCUGGUUCUUAAUAAGAGUAUUAUUAAGAUCCCCAAGCAUAGCUGAUACUGCUCUUCCAAACAAACCAAGGAACUCCAUUCAUUUAUUGAUGCUCUCUCCAUGAAGGGAUUAUGUUUCACUUUGUUUGAAGGACCUGAGAGCCCUUAUUAUUUUUGUUUGCAGAAACACUGUGGUGCACAUGAAAGGGACACAGAGGAAAAAAACC